CCUACGGGUGGCUGCAGUCGAGAAUCUUCGGCAAUGGGCGCAAGCCUGACCGAGCGACGCCGCGUGGAGGACGAAGGCCUUCGGGUUGUAAACUCCUGUCGAGGGGGAAGAAGCCGCAAGGUUGACUGAUCCCUGGAGGAAGCACGGGCUAAGUUCGUGCCAGCAGCCGCGGUAAGACGAACCGUGCGAACGUUAUUCGGAAUCACUGGGCUUAAAGCGCGUGUAGGCGGGACGACACGUCGAUCGUUGAAAUCCCUCGGCUCAACCGAGGAAGCGGCGCCGAUACGAUCGUCCUGGAGGGGCGUAGGGGGACCUGGAACUUCCGGUGGAGCGGUGAAAUGCGUUGAGAUCGGAAGGAACGCCCGUGGCGAAAGCGAGGUCCUGGACGCCUACUGACGCUGAGACGCGAAAGCCAGGGGAGCGAACGGGAUUAGAUACCCUGGUAGUC
rnacentral:rRNA from 1 species